rnacentral:rRNA from 1 species
GACGAACGCUGGCGGCGUGCUUAACACAUGCAAGUCGAACGGAAAGGCCCUGCUUUUGUGGGGUGCUCGAGUGGCGAACGGGUGAGUAACACGUGAGUAACCUGCCCUUGACUUUGGGAUAACUUCAGGAAACUGGGGCUAAUACCGGAUAGGAGCUCCUGCUGCAUGGUGGGGGUUGGAAAGUUUCGGCGGUUGGGGAUGGACUCGCGGCUUAUCAGCUUGUUGGUGGGGUAGUGGCUUACCAAGGCUUUGACGGGUAGCCGGCCUGAGAGGGUGACCGGCCACAUUGGGACUGAGAUAGGGCCCAGACUCCUACGGGAGGCAGCGGUGGGGAAUAUUGCACAAUGGGCGGGAGCCUGAUGCAGCAACGCCGCGUGCGGGAUGACGGCCUUCGGGUUGUAAACCGCUUUCGCCUGUGACGAAGCGUGAGUGACGGUAAUGGGUAAAGAAGCACCGGCUAACUACGUG